rnacentral:rRNA from 1 species
UACGUAGGGGCCAAGCGUUGUCCGGAUUUAUUGGGCGUAAAGAGCUCGUAGGUGGUUCGGCAAGUCAGUUGUGAAAUCUCCGCGCUCAACGCGGAGGGGUCAGCUGAAACUGCUGUGACUUGAGUCUGGUAGGGGAGUGUGGAAUUCCCGGUGUAGCGGUGAAAUGCGCAGAUAUCGGGAGGAACACCAGUGGCGAAGGCGGCACUCUGGGCCAGUACUGACACUGAGGAGCGAAAAGCGUGGGGGAGCGAACAGG